rnacentral:misc_RNA from 1 species
ACUAAUAUUUUCCUUAGCUACUACAACUCUCUUCAAAACUUAAAACUAAUAGAUUAGAUUAGACACUAAUUAACAUCCGUGAAUAGGAAAUUCGAAAUUAAUGAACCGGAAAAUGCUGGCCAUGGCGAGUGAUUUAUCUUACUCUUCUUGUUCAACGCCUGAUACAGGUUCAUGUGCCUCUCUUUUCAACCUCUUGAACGUCUGAAUCGUAAACCUCACCGCCAACGGCAGAGUAGCAGUAAGCAAGACGUAGCGAAACUUCACAGACUCGUGAGGAGUAACAGCAAAAAUAGCAGAACCAUAAGUCACAAUCACUGAAGCCGUGGCAACCCAUAUCUCAAAAUGGAGUGGGAACUUGUAACUGAGAUAUAAAAUGACAUGUAUAGAAGUGGAGAGUGCUAAAGUAUUAAAUACCAAAAAAACAUAGAACGCAUGCUUCUGAGACGCAUAAAUUGCCCUUCCAGCAUGAUGGUCCUUGUCGUCUUGCCAGACCCCGCCAGGAGGAUUCACCCCCGCCUGGAAGGUCACCGUUGAAAUCAAUGCCGUUAUGAGUAGCAAAAUAUUUCGCACAUCACUUGGUGAGUCAUUGGCUUCGUCAUACCGGAAGUGCUUGAACCAGCUUGUCCAGAUAUUUUUAAAGGAAUUAAACCUUUUCCCAGGAGCAAUGAUGGGGUUGCUCAUUUUUUCCUUGAG